UACAGAGGUCCCAAGCGUUGUUCGGAUUCACUGGGCGUAAAGGGUGCGUAGGCGGUUUGAUAAGUCUGAUGUGAAAUCCCGCAGCUUAACUGCAGAACUGCAUUGGAAACUAUUUGACUAGAGGAAUGGAGGGGAGACUGGAAUACUUGGUGUAGCAGUGAAAUGCGUAGAUAUCAAGUGGAACACCAGUGGCGAAGGCGAGUCUCUGGACAUUUCCUGACGCUGAGGCACGAAAGCCAGGGGAGCAAACGGG
rnacentral:rRNA from 1 species